rnacentral:rRNA from 1 species
GACGAACGCUGGCGGCGUGCUUAACACAUGCAAGUCGAACGGAAAGGCCCUGCUUUUGUGGGGUGCUCGAGUGGCGAACGGGUGAGUAACACGUGAGUAACCUGCCCUUGACUUUGGGAUAACUUCAGGAAACUGGGGCUAAUACCGGAUAGGAGCUCCUGCUGCAUGGUGGGGGUUGGAAAGUUUCGGCGGUUGGGGAUGGACUCGCGGCUUAUCAGCUUGUUGGUGGGGUAGUGGCUUACCAAGGCUUUGACGGGUAGCCGGCCUGAGAGGGUGACCGGCCACAUUGGGACUGAGAUACGGCCCAGACUCCUACGGGAGGCAGCAGUGGGGAAUAUUGCACAAUGGGCGGAAGCCUGAUGCAGCAACGCCGCGUGCGGGAUGACGGCCUUCGGGUUGUAAACCGCUUUCGCCUGUGACGAAGCGUGAGUGACGGUAAUGGGUAAAGAAGCACCGGCUAACUACGUGCCAGCAGCCGCGGUGAUACGUAGGGUGCGAGCGUUGUCCGGAUUUAUUGGGCGUAAAGGGCUCGUAGGUGGUUGAUCGCGUCGGAAGUGUAAUCUUGGGGCUUAACCCUGAGCGUGCUUUCGAUACGGGUUGACUUGAGGAAGGUAGGGGAGAAUGGAAUUCCUGGUGGAGCGGUGGAAUGCGCAGAUAUCAGGAGGAACACCAGUGGCGAAGGCGGUUCUCUGGGCCUUUCCUGACGCUGAGGAGCGAAAGCGUGGGGAGCGAACAGGCUUAGAUACCCUGGUAGUCCACGCUGUAAACGGUGGGUACUAGGUGUGGGGUCCAUUCCACGGGUUCCGUGCCGUAGCUAACGCUUUAAGUACCCCGCCUGGGGAGUACGGCCGCAAGGCUAAAACUCAAAGGAAUUGACGGGGCCCCGCACAAGCGGCGGAGCAUGCGGAUUAAUUCGAUGCAACGCGUAGAACCUUACCUGGGUUUGACAUGGAUCGGGAGUGCUCAGAGAUGGGUGUGCCUCUUUUGGGGUCGGUUCACAGGUGGUGCAUGGCUGUCGUCAGCUCGUGUCGUGAGAUGUUGGGUUAAGUCCCGCAACGAGCGCAACCCUUGUUCACUGUUGCCAGCACGUUAUGGUGGGGACUCAGUGGAGACCGCCGGGGUCAACUCGGAGGAAGGUGGGGAUGACGUCAAGUCAUCAUGCCCCUUAUGUCCAGGGCUUCACGCAUGCUACAAUGGCUGGUACAGAGAGUGGCGAGCCUGUGAGGGUGAGCGAAUCUCGGAAAGCCGGUCUCAGUUCGGAUUGGGGUCUGCAACUCGAUCUCAUGAAGUCGGAGUCGCUAGUAAUCGCAGAUCAGCAACGCUGCGGUGAAUACGUUCCCGGGACU